rnacentral:rRNA from 1 species
UGACUGUAGGUGAAAGCUUACAUCUCUUCGGAGCAUUUUACGAGGUGCUGCAUGGUUGUCGUCAGCUCGUGCCGUGAGGUGUCGGGUUAAGUCCCAUAACGAGCGCAACCCCUACCUUUAGUUGCCAUCAGGUAAUGCUGGGGACUCUAAAGGAACUGCCUACGCAAGUAGUGAGGAAGGCGGGGAUGACGUCAAAUCAGCACGGCCCUUACGUCCAGGGCUACACACGUGCUACAAUGGCCGAUACAGAGGGCAGCUACCUGGUGACAGGAUGCAAAUCUCCAAAGUCGGUCUCAGUUCGGAUCGGAGUCUGCAACCCGACUCCGUGAAGUUGGAUUCGCUAGUAAUCGCGCAUCAGCCAUGGCGCGGUGAAUACGUUCCCGGGCCUU